GAGAUGCUUUGGUGGCCUUCGGGAACUCUGAGACAGGUGCUGCAUGGCUGUCGUCAGCUCGUGUUGUGAAAUGUUGGGUUAAGUCCCGCAACGAGCGCAACCCUUAUCCUUUGUUGCCAGCGGCUCGGCCGGGAACUCAAAGGAGACUGCCGGUGAUAAACCGGAGGAAGGUGGGGAUGACGUCAAGUCAUCAUGGCCCUUACGGCCAGGGCUACACACGUGCUACAAUGGCGCAUACAAGAGAAGCGACCUCGCGAGAGCAAGCGGACCUCACAAAGUGCGUCGUAGUCCGGAUUGGAGUCUGCAACUCGACUCCAUGAAGUCGGAAUCGCUAGUAAUCGUAGAUCAGAAUGCUACGGUGAAUACGUUCCCGGGCCUUGUACACACCGCCCGUCACACCAUGGGAGUGGGUUGCAAAAGAAGUAGGUAGCUUAACCUUCGGGAGGGCGCUUACCACUUUGUGAUUCAUGACUGGGGUGAAGUCGUAACAAGGUAAGCGUAGCGAG
rnacentral:rRNA from 1 species